AUUGAAAAACUGAUUCCCGUAAGAUUAGCGAAGUUAAGCAACGUCGAACCUGGUCAGUACCAAGAUGAGUGAACUCAUAGGAAUACCAGGUGCUGUUAG